GGGCAGGGCUGGGCGGGGACCCCAACCACAGCCUUUGCUUCAGCAGGGUCAGCCUCCCACCAACAGGCACACCCCGCCUCACCCCCCUAUGCCAGGCUAGGUGCCAGGGGCUGGAGGGGGUGACUACACAGCAAGGCUGAGUACCUGCAAGCGGCUGGCCAGGCGGCUAAGGGGCAGCCAGGUUUGAAACAAGGGACCAGGGCACACGGUUCAAAAGACAAAAGGCACCAAAGGGUAAACUGUGACAGGAUGUCCUCCUUCCACCCUGGCCCAGCUCAGCCCUGGAGGCAACCGCUACUAGACUUUCAGGUUUUUUCUUUUCCUUUCUGAGAGAUCCUACGUGUGUGUAUGGGUACACACAUGAUUACCUGCUUUUUAAAAAAACAAGAGAAAUGGCAGCCACAUGACACACAAUAUUCUGUACUUUGCUCUUCUCGAAAACAUUCCGUGGCUCUCCCACGCUGCUGGCAUUUGGCAGGAGCUUAGCAGCAUCGAGUGGAAGUGGGGACACACGCUUGACCUAGCAAGAGCUCUCCUGGGUACACACUCCAGCAUAACGCAGGCCCAUGGGGCAGGGAGCACACGCGAGAAGAGACUAGAAACAAGACAAAUGCUCGUCCCCAGGAGGUGGUGAAUGAAGGCUCCAUGGCACCGCACAUGAUAGGGAGAAUGAAUGAAUGAAUGACUACAGCUACAUGUGGAUGAGCAUCAAAGAAGACGCCACACAGAAGAGGCAAAAACAUCGAACAAUACUCCAUCCUCGGACUUUAAGGUUCAAAGCCAGGCAAAAGGAAACUGCUUCAGGCUGCAUACAGAGGUGGCAAACAGAGAGAAAAGCAAGCAUAUGAUGGCCUCAAAAGUCAGGAGAGUUGGACUGGGCACGGUGGCUCAUGCCUGUAAUCCCAGCACUUUGGGAUGCCGAGGCGGGAGGAUUACUUGAGGCCAGGAGUUCGAGACCAGCCUGGCCAACAUUGUGAAACCCCAUCUCUACAUUUUUAGAGAAUUAAAAUUAAGGCCAGGUGGGGUGGUUCACACCUGUAAUCCCUGCACUUUGAGAGGCCAAGGCGAGUGGAUCGCCUGAGGUCAGGAGAUCAAGACCAGCCUGACCAACAUGGUGAAGCUCCGUCUCUACUAAAAAUAUAAAAAUUGGCGUGGCGUGGCGGUAGGCGCCUGUAAUCCCAGCUACUCGGGAGGCUGAGGCAGGAGAAUCACUUGAACCUGGGAGGCGAAGGUUGCAGUGAGCCGAGAUGGUGCCGCUGCACUCCAGCCUGGGUGACAGAGUGAGACUCUGUUUCAAAAAAAUAAAACAACAACAACAAAACACAAAAAUUAGCCGGGUGUGGUGGCACAUGCCUGUAAUUCCAGCUACUCGGGAGGCUGAGGUACGAGAAUUGCUUGAACCCAGAAGGUGGAGGUUGCAGUAAGCUGAGAUUGUGCCACUGCACUUCAGCCUGGGUGAUGGAGUGGGACUCUGUCUCAAAAAAAAUUAAAAUUAAAAAGAGUGGAUGCUUCUGGGGGAAGGGAGGGACUGGGAGCUUUUGGGGGUUGGGGGAGGCUGGCACCAUCUGUUUCUUCACCUGGAGGGGUGGCUACAUAGAUUUUUCCCUUUAUAGUAAUUGGUUUUGCUAUACAUUUAUGUUUUAUGCAAUUUUCACUGUGUAUCCUAACAAUUUAUAAUUAUGAUUUGAAAGAAAAAAAUUGAUAUAUCUAUACAAUUCUCCCUCGGUAGCUGAGGGAGAUUGGCUCCAGAACCCCCGCAGGAGGUACCACAUCCAGGGAUGCUCACGUCCCUCAGUCAGCCCUCCAUAACCGCGGAUGGAAAAGCUGGCCCUCCAUAGUAAAUUUUCAGUCCUUCGUUGGUUGAAUGGGUGGGUGCAGAACCCGUGAUCCUGAGGGCCCAUGAUACCCAGGGCCAACUAUAUAUACAGCAGUUCCCCUUAUCUGCAAGGCGUAUGUUCCAAGACCCCCAAUGGGAUGCCUGAAACUGUGGAUAACAUUGAACCCGAUUGCCAUCAGUUGGAACACGUUUCUGUUCCUGUCUUCCACCCCCCCAAACGUAAUGCCUUUUUCAUCUUAACCAAGCCCUUAUGCCCUGUGGCUGUUGACUUUCGCAGUUUGAGGUGUGACAGUAAACCCAGCACAAAUUCUUUCCCUUCUUCGCAAUUUCAUGGAUAGAAGGUUCGUUCUUACUGUAAAGCUUAGUAACCUUAGCAUACAAUUUUUUUUCUUUUCCUUAUUAGGUUCAAUACUUUCCCCUUUUUCACUUAAAGGAAGCACUUUACAGCUUCUCUUUGGCAUAUCCAAAUUGCCAGCAUCGCUACUCUUGCACUUUGGGGACAAUGUUAAGUGAAAUAAAGGCUACCUGAACAUAA